rnacentral:rRNA from 1 species
GACGGGGGCCCGCACAAGCGGCGGAGCAUGCGGAUUAAUUCGAUGCAACGCGAAGAACCUUACCAAGGCUUGACAUAACCGAGAACGCUGUAGAGAUACAGAACUCUUUGGACACUCGGUUACAGGUGGUGCAUGGUUGUCGUCAGCUCGUGUCGUGAGAUGUUCGGUUAAGUCCGGCAACGAGCGCAACCCUCGUCCUAUGUUGCCAGCACGUUAUGGUGGGAACUCAUGGGAUACUGCCGUGGUCAACACGGAGGAAGGUGGGGAUGACGUCAAAUCAUCAUGCCCCUUAUGUCUUGGGCUUCACGCAUGCUACAAUGGCCGAUACAAAGGGCUGCGAUACCGCGAGGUGGAGCGAAUCCCAAAAAGUCGGUCUCAGUUCGGAUUGGGGUCUGCAACUCGACCCCAUGAAGUCGGAGUCGCUAGUAAUCGCAGAUCAGCAACGCUGCGGUGAAUACGUUCCCGGGCCUUGUACACACCGCCCGUCAAGUCAUGAAAGUCGGUAACACCCGAAGCCGGUGGCCUAACCCUUGUGGAGGGAGCCGUCGA